rnacentral:rRNA from 1 species
UACGUAGGGUGCGAGCGUUGUCCGGAAUUACUGGGCGUAAAGAGCUCGUAGGCGGCUUGUCGCGUUGUUCGUGAAAAUUUACCGCUCAACGGUGAACUUGCGGGCGAUACGGGCAGGCUAGAGUACUGCAGGGGAGACUGGAAUUCCUGGUGUAGCGGUGAAAUGCGCAGAUAUCAGGAGGAACACCGGUGGCGAAGGCGGGUCUCUGGGCAGUAACUGACGCUGGAGGAGCGAAAGCGUGGGAGCGAACAGG